AAGUCGUAACAAGGUUUCCGUAGGUGAACCUGCGGAAGGAUCAUUACAAAUCCAAGUCAAGUCUAUUGACAAGUUGAAAUGUGUGUGUGAGAGAGAGAGAAUAUAUUUAAUAUUUUUCCACACAAAGUCCAUACAUUCAAUGUUGAACAACACAUAUAUUCUUUUACACAACUUGUAACAAUGAAUCUCUAGGCUCUU
rnacentral:misc_RNA from 1 species